rnacentral:rRNA from 1 species
CCAUGAAGCUGGAUUCGCUAGUAAUCGCGCAUCAGCCACGGCGCGGUGAAUACGUUCCCGGGCCCUUGUACACACCGCCCGUCACACCAUGGGAGUCGGAAAUGCCCGAAGUCAGUGACCCAACCGUAAGGAGGGAGCUGCCGAAGGUGGAGCCGGUAACUGGGGUGAAGUCGUAACAAGGUAUC